UAAACUCAACAUAACCCCAUAAUUGGUUGUCACAUGUACAAACCUCUAAUACGGAAUCUGAAUAAAAUAUACAAGUCUCAUAGUAAAGUUCUAGAAUAGAACAGAACAAUAAAUAUAGAUAACUUGAGGGCACGUCUGGAAUGAACCGCUACCUCUCAAGUAAGUCUGGAAGCUCUAAUCUGAAGAUGAGUAAUAAGCCGGAUCUGAUAGAGCUGUCAACCUACACAACUGUGUAGAAGCAAGGGUGAGUACCAAAAGCAACAAGUACUCGCAAGUAACACUAAACUAAGCUAAACUAGCAGCUACAAACAACUCCUUUCAAUCCCAACCGAACCACCGAAACUUCAUUCUAACAGCGAACCAACAACCUAUACUACACAAUUCAUAAUCAACAGAUAUAUCCAACAGUGUCUCAACGUCAAUCUCAUAUCCUCAUGUAAGAGCAAAUAGAUCAUAUAUCACAUGAAGAGGGGCAAAUGAGUAAAAUCCAUACACCACAGACAAAGAUGAAGUCAAAUGCAAUAAUGAUGUCAUGUAGUUGUAAUGCAUGUCUGUCCUAAGAUACACAUCUGUUGACACAAUCAGACCGCGCUGAAUACUCAAAUCAAAACCCAUGGGGCCCACACAUGGACCAUGUAUCACCGCCGGAACCAGAUCCCAUCGGCAUCCAAAUCGCUAGCCGGAGCUAGUCCAUCUCAUAUAUCUCUAGCCGGAGCUAGUCUCAACUGUGUCUCAUAUCCAUCCAUCCUCAUAUCAGUGUCUCAGAACUCAUGCAACAGAUAGUUCACACAUGGGAUGAAUAAUGAAUAUGCACAUGUCAUCAAUCACAAUCAUAUCACGAUCACAUCAUAAUAUUACACAUCAUUUGUCUGGGAUGAAUAAUGAAUAUGCACAUGUCAUCAAUCACAAUCAUAUUACGAUCACAUCAUAGUAUUACACAUCAUCUGUUUCAACAUCAAUGUCUGUAUCAAUCAUAGCCUACUCAUGCUCUUCUAUCCCCUCAAUAUCAGUUAUCACAUGACUUAUUCAACAAAUUCAAGUCACAUAUAACACAUUUAGCUCGUUUUAUUCCCCAUCUUUCAAUUACAACAAUUUCAAUCAACAAAUAAAACUCAUCCUCAAUCCCCAUUACUCCCCAACACAAUUAGGAAAGUAGUCAUGUGUAGUCUAAGAGUUUAACAAAGUUUAGAAGUCACUUGCCUCAAAACACUUCAACUAGUAACUCAAAUUUGAGUUUUACCCUUCCGAGCACGCUCCAAAUCACCACAAUCCAAUGAAUUCCUUGCGAAAACCCACUUGAAAUCACCUAUUUUCGAUCUCUCAAAGUCUAAAAAUGGAGAAAUGGGUAUUUUUCAAGUUAGGGGAAAAUGGCUACUGGUUUUGGCUUUAAAAAAGAAAGAAACAACUGAUGUUGCAGCUUUAAAAAACCACAGCAGCUGAAACAACAUAUAACACCAAAGUUUAAGUCCCCGUUUGACCCUCGGGAUUCGUUCGGAAUCUCGUGCACACAAACUGAAUAUGUACCCCCACUAAAUUCGACGUUCCGAACUCAAUGGAACCGUCGGAAUUUGAAUUCGAGGCUCCUUGACCCGAAAUUCAAUAAGAUGCCAAGAGACUAGUUUAACGCCAAAAAAAUUCGAAACUCAAACGGAGCGUCUAAAAAUUCAACCAAGACUCAUUCUAGACUUAGAAUCGCCUCCCGAAACCAACGGUACUCUCGGAAUUUCAAUCUGAGCCUCGGAACCUCAUAUGUUGACCAAAGUCAACUCUUUAUCGAAAUUUCACAACUUUAGCAACUUAGGACCUCAAUUCUUCGUUUCAACUCCAAAUUCAACUCCGUAACUUCACACAGACCUGUUUCGACAUUCUAAAACUGCCGGAAUCGACGGAAAUCCGAUCCGAGUCUCGAAACUCCAAUGAAUCGAAAAAACACUUUUUAACCAACUUUAACUCAUAAAAAACUCAACUUCUCAAAAACUCAACUUUUUACCAACUUUUCCUCAAACCAACUUUACAACCACAAAACAUGGGACUUGGGGCAACUACCGAAAGGGCAAAAUAGCCAUUUCCAUGAAAAAUCACCAAAAUGACCUUUCGGGUCAUUACAAUUUGGGUUGGUUUGGUUUCAACUACAAAAAACUAACCCAAGACCAAACCAACCCGACAUAAUAUUUAAAAUUUUAUUUUAUACAUAAAAAUAUUUACUUCGAUAUAAUUUUUAAAUAUAUCUUAUACUCUUUCAUAGUUUUUAUCUUUUAAUAUAUUAUUUCAAGUUUGAAACUUAGAAUUCUGAAUGGUCCAAUAAAUAUUAUAGUCCACAGAGGUUGAUAAUUAUAAUAAAGACUAAAUCAAAAUCAAAUUAAUAUUAAUGCAAAAAGAAAAUCAAUUCAACACCAAGAAUGAUAAUAAUAUUGAAUAUUUGUUCUUUAGUUUUACAUUGGUUUAGACAAUUAAAAUAUAUAAUAUAGUUUUAAUUUCCUUUAAUAUUUAGUCAUGUAACUAAUACUUAUUAAACUUAUUUUAGCAUGAUUAGUACUUUUAAAUUAUGAUCAUUUUCAUUAUGACUUGUUAAUUUGUAAUAUUUAUUUUACGCGAUUUUCAUUAUUAUUUUUUUUGUUGGAUAUUUUAGUGUCAUUAAUCAUAUCAUAUUUUGUGUUAUUUUCUUAAGAAACACCUUUGAUAGUUGUAUUUUGGUAGGACUAAAGAAAUAGUUGAAGUACAAGUAAAUUAUAUGUUUGUAUGAAUACUUUAUCGGAAAACCCCGAAAAAAUCCGAAAAUCCAAAAAACCCAAAAAAAUUUGAAAAAACCCAAGGUUGAAAAACCCGAGUUUUAUUGGUUUGGUUUGAUUUGGUUUAUAAAUUUAAAAAUCCGACACAAAUAAUUUGGUUUGAUAUUUGAAAAACCCGAACCAACCCAGCCAUAUACGCCCUUAACUGAAAUGUAGUGAUAGAAUCAAAUUUUGUUGAUUUGAUUUGAAACUAAAAACAAAUCAAAGAUGGAGAAAAAUACUGAUAAAAUAAUAUCAAAGAAUACUAAUACUAAUAAUGAAGAAGAAAAUAGCAAAGCCAAGGAAGUUGCUACUGAAAAUGAAAGUGCUUCCACUUUAUAUACUUUUGAAUUGUCUUGCUAUUACUUUCUAUGUCUUAUUUUAUAUAACAUCAUUUAAUUUGACAUGAUGUUUAAGAAGAAGAAAAAUAACUAUUCAAAAAAUGUGUGAUCUAAACCAAUUUUUAUAUAUUUGUAUGGUUCAUAAGAGUAAAAGAAAAUUUUAAAGAAAAGGUUGUCAUAUAAAAUGAAACUAAAACCUCACUAAAUUAAUAAUCUCUCUAAAAUAAUAUUUUUCUCCGGUCACAACUUAGGUCAAUGGAAAAAAAUCACCCAUUUCGAUAAGAUAAUAUAUUUUUAGAAGACCUCUAUAUAUAAAUAUAUGGUCCAAUUAAUAUUAUAAAUUAACAAUUCUUUAAAAGUACAAUUAUAUCUAAGACAAUUUAGUGAAAUAUAAUUAUAUUGUUUUCUAUUUUUGUUAAAAUUUAAAUUUAGUUGAAGCUCAUCUCUAACUUUUCUUAUUGUAUCCAAAAGUUUCAGUGUUGUCUUUUCAAAUUGCACCAUAAAUUUGUGAAGAGUUCUAUAUGUGAUAAGUGAUUCCUUACGCGUAACUGGUUGCAAAAGUACUGUAUCAUCUUCAACUUUAUCAUCAACAUAGUUUUUUCCAAUGGUAUCCACAAUUUAUCCUGAGCUCUGGACUUGUGAACAUGUGUCAUUUUCACCCAUCCAACAGAUUAUUAACGUUCAUUUUAUUGCGGUAACUGAGAUCAUUAAUCAUGACCUCAAGUUCAUGAAUGACAUUUUCACAAGUGGGUUCAUUCAAAUUCUCUGUGAUUUCAUCUCUGAUGAAUUUUGCGGUGUCGAAACAAUCUUUAAAUUAAUAAAUACUAAUUUAUCGAUUAAAUAAUACCUCUACGAAAUAAUAAUAUUUCAUGGUCCCACCUAUAUUAGUUUAGUGAAGUUUUAUUGUAUAUCCCAGGAAAUGACUAAUGCAAUUCUAGGAAAUUAAGGUGUAUUUUUUUAUAAACAUAAUUUUUUUUAUAAUUUGUGAAGACUAUCAAAACUCUUAUUGAUAUACAUUUUAAGGUGUCACGUUAAUAAAUCACAUAUCUUUUUUUUUAUUUAGAUAUAAAUAUUUACAAUUUUAUGAUAUACAAACUUUCAAACAAACAUAUUUUUUGAAAAAUAUCCACUACUCCACAAUAAUAGUAAUAAUCACUUAUUCUUUAAUAAAUUCGUUCAACAAUAUAGUACAUACAAUAGCUUCACGUCGAGCAUGAAGAUUUUUGCUGUCCAAAAUUAACUUAAAUGAGGGGUCUUUUUUUGUAAAAAAUAAGCUAACUGGUCAUUAACGUUUUUAAAAUAUUAAAAAUUGGAGUUUCAAAUUUUAUGGCCAAACACUCGUUUAGAGUAAAUUAUACUUAUUUACUACUCUCUCCAUUCCUUUUUAGUUAUCACAAUUUCCUUUUUUUAGAGUCAAAUGAUAUGAGUAUUAACUAACAUUUUAAAAUGUAUUUUCUUUUUACUUAUAUAUAAUAUUUUUUGUAUAAUUUUUGAAUAUCUAAAUUUUUAUUUUAAAAUAACAAAUUAUGUAAUUUAAUUUAAAUUUAAAAUUAAUCAAAUAAACUUUCGAAAAGUAUCGUAAAGUGUUCAUGAUGUAUCCCCUAAUAGCGUAUGAUAUUUAUGAAUGCAUUAUUACUGGUAUACUAUUGAUAUUCCCCAAUAGUACAAUUAAUUUAAUUGCAGAUUUCCAACGUAUUUUUGCGUUUAAAAUUGUUGAGUUCUCCAAUGUAAAACUAACAAUCAAAAUGUACAAAAGUAUAUCCAAGUAAGUGCCUAUAUAAUAACGAUUGAAUUCCCUUUUUUUUAUAAAAAAAAUAAAAAUAAAAUUGGUUAGCAAGAAAUGUUGAAUUCUACCAUCAUCAUCAUGGGUUCAUGUGAAAGCAUUCCGGUUGUUCGGGCAUUAUGAUUAUGAUUAUGCUGAUGAUUAUGAAUAUGAAUAUGAUUAUGAUGAUGAAGUGCGUUGGGGGAUAUAUCAUAUAUGAAUAUGUCGUUCCGUUGAAAGUAAGAUGGAAAAAUCAUAUUUUCAUAUAUCGACUUUUGUUUAUGAAUUGGUGUUAAAUUAUGUAAUGGUUAUUCCUACUAAUUAGCUUUUUAUUUAGCAAUCUUGUUCGUGAAUCUGUUUAGUGUCGUCAAAUUAUGACAUUUCAAGAUUUGAAGUUGAAAUUUUGUUUGAAAAAAUAAUUUGAAUGGAAAAGCUUGGCAAGAAAUGAAUUUAUUUCUUUUUCUUAUAUUCAUGCAUGUUUUUAAUUACUAGCUUGUGUUUUGUUAAAGAAUGACAAAAGUCCCACAUCGGUGGUUAAUGAGAUGGGUGGACUCCUUAUAAGGCUUGGGCAAUCCUCCUCCCUUUGAGCUAGCUUUUGGGGUGUGAGUUAGGCCUAAGACCUAAUUUAACAUGGUAUCAGAGAAGGGCCCGUCUCAUCCGAUGUUGGGGCCCCCAAAAUCAAAAUUGUCCACGCACCAGAUGCUAAGCACUGGGCGUGAGGUGGGGUGUUAAAGAAUGACAAAAGUCCCACAUCGGUGGUUAAUGAGAUGGGUGGACUCCUUAUAAGGCUUGGGCAAUCCUCCUCCCUUUGAGCUAGCUUUUGGAGUGUGAGUUAGGCCUAAGACCUAAUCUAACAUGUUUUACAUAAAUUUUCACCUUUUUUUUUUUUAUAUAUAUAAUUAUGUUGUUUCUAAAUAUUUUGUGGAUAUUACUAAGGUUACACUUAUUUUGGGACGGAUGGAGUAGCUGUAUUUUAAUCUCCAAAUAGACCAUUUUCAGUGAGUUUUUAAAAUAAAAAUAGGUGGAUUUUUAGUUCUUUUACUCAUAAAUGGUGUUACAAGAUCAGAAGAAGAAGUUUAUAAAGUUGUUUAAUUCAAGAGACAUGUCAAAUAUAUACAUAGUUUUAUUUGUUUGGUCAAAUAUAAGUACAAUUAUGCUUUAUACAUCUUAAAUCUUGUGGAAAGUGAUUUUAACAUAAGUUGGUGAAGUUGUGAACAUGUAACGUUGUAGAAUCAUCGAAAGACUAAUUUUUGCUUUGAUCAUUGCAAAGUUCAAACCUAAACAAGUUUGAGGUCCAUAGCCAAACGGCAAAAAUGCUACUGGAUUGUUGUUUGUAGCUUUAACAACCCCUUCAGCAAAUCUAUCCGGUUUGAAAACAUGAACAUGUUCUCCCCAUAUUUUAUGAUCAUGUUGAACUGCUAAUGGUGAUAUGUAUAUCAGCAUUUUAGGUGGUAAAGUUAGCUCAACUUUCCUUUUGAUGAAUGGUACUGGAGGGUACAAUCUUAGAGAUUCAUCAAGAAUCAUGUUCAUCUACAUUGAUCAAAAUAUGUUGAAAAGUGUUAUGUAAUAAAAUAAAAGUAUUGACAUUGAUAAUAAACAAAUGCUAACAAUUUUCAGUCUUGAUAGGUAUGAGCAAUGACUAAUGUUGCAUUCUACAUUGAUCAAAGAUUAUUGAAAACUGUUACGUAAUUGAAUAGAAGUAUCGAAACUGAUAAUAAACGAUUGAUAGAUCCUUAAUGCUUACAAUUUUCAGACUUGAUAGGCCAUCUGCAUUAGGAACUUUCUGGCCAAAUGAUUCAGCAACUUCUUUUCUUGCUUUUUCUUGCCACUCCUUGUUUGUAGCUAGCAAGAAGAUUGUCCAUCCGAGCAAAGAAGACGUUGUCUCCUGACCAGCAUAAUAAAAGUUCUUGCACUCAUCAAUUAUAUCGUCUAUUGAUAUUCCGUUAUUCUUGAUAAGCUUCUAGCUAGGAGUUUUCCAAGGAAAUCACUUC
rnacentral:lncRNA from 1 species